rnacentral:rRNA from 1 species
GACGAACGCUGGCGGCGUGCUUAACACAUGCAAGUCGAACGGUGAAGCGCCUUCCUUUUUGGUGGGUGUGGAUGAGUGGCGAACGGGUGAGUAACACGUGAGUAACCUGCCCCCUUCUUCUGGAUAACCGCAUGAAAGUGUGGCUAAUACGGGAUAUUCUGGGUCUGUCGCAUGAUGGGUCUGGGAAAGAUAUUGUUUCGGUGGGGGAUGGGCUCGCGGCCUAUCAGCUUGUUGGUGGGGUGAUGGCCUACCAAGGCGGUGACGGGUAGCCGGCCUGAGAGGGUGGACGGUCACACUGGGACUGAGACACGGCCCAGACUCCUACGGGAGGCAGCAGUGGGGAAUAUUGCACAAUGGGCGCAAGCCUGAUGCAGCGACGCCGCGUGAGGGAUGGAGGCCUUCGGGUUGUGAACCUCUUUCGCCAGUGAAGCAGGCCUGCCUCGUUUGUGGGUGGGUCGACGGUAGCUGGAGAAGAAGCGCCGGCUAACUACGUG